rnacentral:rRNA from 1 species
AACGUAGGAGACAAACGUUAUCCGGAGUUACUGGGCGUAAAGGGCGUGUAGGUGGUAUCGUAAGUCUGGCGUGAAAUUUCGUCGGCCUUAACCGAGGCAGGUCGUCGGAUACUGCGAGGCUAGAGGACGGUAGAGGCGUGUGGAAUUCCGGGUGUAGUGGUGAAAUGCGUAGAGAUCCGGAGGAACACCAGUGGCGAAGGCGACACGCUGGGCCGUACCUGACACUGAUGCGCGGACAAGCAUGGGGGAGCAACAGG